UCCGCAGGCGGGCAAUUAAGUCAGAGGUGAAAUCCCACAGCUCAACUGUGGAACUGCCUUUGAUACUGGUUGUCUUGAGUUAUAGUGAAGUAGAUAGAAUAUGUAGUGUAGCGGUGAAAUGCAUAGAUAUUACAUAGAAUACCGAUUGCGAAGGCAGUCUACUAACUAUAUACUGACGCUGAUGGACGAAAGCGUGGGGAGCGAACAGGAUUAGAUACCCUGGUAGUCC
rnacentral:rRNA from 1 species